CACUGUUUAUGAACAUCGAGGUGUCGCAGGCACAUCGUCUAGCGGAGGUCGAAAAGGAGAGCAAGACAUGAAAGAACCAACAGACAAAAUGCAGGGUACUUAUACAAAAUAUUUCUAUAUCUUGGCCGCGAUUUCUUUCAUGAACACAUAUGCUCUUACUGAAACCAUACCGGGCGAAGAAACACGCAUUGACGAUGACAGCCACUACGUUCAGUACCAAGAUAUCUAUAAGGCAUUCAACAAUUCUGACAUAUAUUGGAUAUAUGGUUUCAAUUUUCUCAGCCAGCAUAGUGUAGGCAGAAGCUGUAUUUAUUUGAAGAUAGAAAGUCUGUGGCCGGAAGGAAUGAAUUACUCGAGUAACUUUUGCAUGAAUGGCAAAAAGGGCUCGUUUCAUUACGACGGAAUUUUCUAUUCGACUGAUUACACCAAUAUGUCAAGGCCCCAACAGCAUCGGGAGAAGCCAAACUGUAUCAACGUGACCACAGAUCAAAGUGUUCAAGAUGCGUUGCCUCGAAUGUAUUAUAAGUUAUUAUACUCAGAUUACACUUCUUGCUCAAUUUUCCGUAUAUUAAGUGCACGUGGAGAUGCAGCAAAUGGAUGCAUGGUUCUCCUUACGAGUUCAGUCGUAAGCAGCGGAAUGCCAACAGAGUGUCGAUCUAUGUUUAAUAAUUCAUGCGCAAGAUACCGCGAACUCGGCGUUAUCUUUGAAGAGCGCUGCAAAGGAAACGUUGAAGAAAAUGCAUGUCAAGAUAGUUUUUCAGCAAUAAAGACGUGAUUUCACUG